GUAUUCCUAUGAAGCAAAACAGAACUACCAUUACUGCCCAAGGCUUUACACGUACCCACAGGACCAGAUCAUCGUUCAGCAAGAGUCUCCUCUGACACUGUACUGAAGAAGGCGACAGGCAGCUGAGAAAGAAGGUAAAAUCAUCUACUCCCUGUUCUUUGGUCUCAGAAAAAAAGGGCAGAGGCAAGUUAGUUAAGUCAUAAACCGAGAAAGCAGCAUCACCCCAAUUCCAUGUCGAAGAACGCUCUUUAUCUAGAACUCUUUGUGCUUCACAAUUUAUCCUUAGAUUUGUUUUCUAUUUCUAAAUGUAGGAUCCUAAUUAACCGAUGAGAAAAUGACGCUGUUGAGAAGUACGUUGAUUGCUGGAUUAAGAGGUUCAAGGCCUCUCUUCUGAGACCAGCACUAGCUGACCUGAAACCAGUACUAUGCCACUGUGCACCUGAAAUGUUCUCUCUGCAAUGGCCAGGGAAUUUGGGACGAGUGAGGGAAGGGCAGGGGAUAGAUACUUCCUCCAUCCACAUACCAACACUGGUCAUUGGGAUGGGGGAGAGACAUACACCACAGAAGACUAGAGGUCAAGUGAGAAGUAGAGAGAAAAUGGGAGGUAAGCCAAGACAAGAUGUGCCCACAGAAUGAGCAUGUGGCACAGCUGACAGGAGGGACUCCUAAUAAAAGCUUAAUAAAAAACAAGCCUCAGAUCUGGGGAACUCCCACUGUAUUUCAAUGGCCCAAACACUGCACCCCACAGGAACAUCACCAUAGCACUUUGGUAUGGUGUUGUGCACAACAGAGGCUCACACAUGCUUGCUUACAGCUGGGAACGUGGUUAUCCAUUGUCAAGUCACUCAGUUAAACUUGUUCCCUCUCUCCAAUUUAAUAGUCUACUCCAAGCCUGGUUAAUGUGGAAUCCAACAGAACAUGACCCCAUAGCCUUAGGAGUCUUGGAGGCAGAGAGAUGCUGUUAUCAGUCAAAUGUGGACAGAAAGGAUGAUCGGCAGCCACAUGUAGAUGACUCCAGUUUACCUGAGGAGACAUGGGAAAAUGACUAUUAAGCAGUCUGACUGGUGAAGCUGAUGGGUCCUUAUGUGUACUCACUGAAAGAUCCUAGUGGGAAGACCAGUUUAACUCAAGUGAAAUGGUGCUGAAAACAAUCUGGGCAAGAUAUUACUAAGUUUUAGAUAGACACUAUGGAACAUUCUUGAAAUUGACUUCAGUAUGUUAGAUUAUUGUUUCAAGAAACAUCACUACAUAGUAAUGUUCCUUUUUUUUUUUUUUUAAGAUUUUAUUUAUUUAUUUGACAGAGAGAGACGGCCAGCGAGAGAGGGAACACAAACGGGAGUGGGAGAGGAAGAAGCAGGCUCCUAGUGGA